CUUCUGAGCCUGCCCAGCUACCUGGAAAAAAGUGAUGCGAAUUGCCAAACUAAAGACUUACAUGUGACCCAACCAGCCAAAAGAAUGCACAGUAGGUUUUACAAAUUAAAAAGCUAGUAACUACAGUGGAAAAAGCAGAUAAAGCUACCAGGGGAAAAAGAGGAAAGAUGACAGGAAAAAGAGGUGGAGAAAGGAUGAAAAGUACAUUUUAUAAGUAGAUAUAGAAGAUUAAAGAAAAACUGAAGAAUUGAUAAGAACAGUCAUGAUGAAAAGCACUGGGCAUCCACACAGUUUUUUAACCAGAUGUUCUGGAACCACAACACUGUUCCAG
rnacentral:lncRNA from 1 species